rnacentral:rRNA from 1 species
GAAACGACUGCUAAGACUGGAUAGGAAGCGGGGAGGCCUCUCGCCGCUUUUAAAAGACCUAGUUUCUAGGUAUGCUUAAGGAGGGGCUUGCGCCAUAUUAGUUAGUUGGUAGGGUAACGGCCUCCCAAGACGAUGAUGUGUAGCUGGACUGAGAGGUUGAACGGCCACAUUGGGACUGAGAUACGGCCCAAACUCCUACGGGAGGCAGCAGUAGGGAAUUUUCGGCAAUGGAGGCAACUCUGACCGAGCAACGCCGCGUGAACGAUGAAGUACUUCGGUAUGUAAAGUUCUUUUAUUAAGGAAGAAAACAGCCCGGCGAACCGGGCUUUUGACGGUACUUAAGGAAUCAGCCCCGGCUAAUUAUGUGCCAGCAGCCGCGGUAAUACAUAAGGGGCGAGUGUUAUCCGGAAUUAUUGGGCGUAAAGGGUGCGUAGGCGGUGAAGUUAGUCAAUGGUGUAAUGGCAGCGCUUAACGGUGUCCGGCUAUUGAAACUGCUUCACUCGAGUGAGAUAGAGGCGAGUGGAAUUCCAUGUGUAGCGGUAAAAUGUGUAAAUAUAUGGAGGAACACCAGAGGCGUAGGCGGCUCGCUGGGUCUUGACUGACGCUGAGGCACGAAAGCGUGGGGAGCAAACAGGAUUAGAUACCCUGGUAGUCCACGCCGUAAACGAUGAGUACUAAGUGUCGGGUUCCCCCGGUACUGAAGUUAACACAUUAAGUACUCCGCCUGAGUAGUACGUACGCAAGUAUGAAACUUAAAGGAAUUGACGGGACUCCGCACAAGCGGUGGAUCAUGUUGUUUAAUUCGAAGAUACGCGAAAAACCUUACCAGGCCUUGACAUGUUCGUGCAAUGCAGUAGUAAUAUUGCGGAGGUUAUCACGAUCACAGGUGGUGCAUGGUUGUCGUCAGCUCGUGUCGUGAGAUGUUAGGUUAAGUCCUAAAACGAGCGAAACCCUUGUCAUUAGUUGCCAGCAUGUUAAGAUGGGGACUCUAAUGAGACUGCCAGUGACAAACUGGAGGAAGGUGGGGAUUACGUCAAAUCAGCAUGCCCCUUAUGGCCUGGGCUACAAACGUGAUACAAUGGCUGUGACAAAGAGUAGCUGAAACGCGAGUUUUUAGCCAAUCUCAAAAACGCAGUCUCAGUUCGGAUUGAAGUCUGCAACUCGACUUCAUGAAGUUGGAAUCGCUAGUAAUCGCGAAUCAGCAUGUCGCGGUGAAUACGCUCUCGGGGUUUGUACACACCGCCCGUCA